rnacentral:rRNA from 1 species
GACGAACGCUGGCGGCAUGCCUUACACAUGCAAGUCGAACGGCAGCAUGGAGAGCUUGCUCUCUGAUGGCGAGUGGCGAACGGGUGAGUAAUGCAUCGGAACGUACCGUGUAAUGGGGGAUAACGUAGCGAAAGUUACGCUAAUACCGCAUACGACCUGAGGGUGAAAGCAGGGGAUCGCAAGACCUUGCGUUAUACGAGCGGCCGAUGUCAGAUUAGCUAGUUGGUGAGGUAAAGGCUAACCAAGGCGACGAUCUGUAGCGGGUCUGAGAGGAUGAUCCGCCACACUGGGACUGAGCCACGGCCCAGACUCCUACGGGAGGCAGCAGUGGGGAAUUUUGGACAAUGGGGGCAACCCUUAUCCAGCCAUGCCGCGUGAGUGAAGAAGGCCUUCGGGUUGUAAAGCUCUUUCGGCCGGGAAGAAAUCGCACAGGCUAAUACUCUGUGUGGAUGACGGUACCGGCAUAAGAAGCACCGGCUAACUACGUGCCAGCCGCCGCGGUAA